GGAAUUUUGCGCAAUGGGCGGAAGCCUGACGCACCAACGCCGCGUGGAGGAAGAAGGCCCCCGGGUCGUAAACUCCUGUCCAUGGGGAAGAUGGUGACGCUACCCUUGGAGGAAGCCCCGGCUAACUCCGUGCCAGCAGCCGCGGUAAUACGGGGGGGGCGAGCGUUGUUCGGAUUUACUGGGCGUAAAGGCCGCGCAGGCGGCGCCGGAAGUCCUGGGUGAAAGCUCCCGGCUCAACUGGGAGAGGGCCUGGGAAACCACGGUGCUGGAGUGCUGGAGAGGGAAGCGGAAUUCCCGGUGUAGCAGUGAAAUGCGUAGAUAUCGGGAGGAACAUCCGUGGCGAAGGCGGCUACCUGGACCAGCACUGACACUGAGGCACGAAAGCGUGGGGAGCAAAC
rnacentral:rRNA from 1 species